UACGGAGGGUGCAAGCGUUAUCCGGAUUCACUGGGUUUAAAGGGUGCGUAGGUGGGUUGGUAAGUCCGUGGUGAAAUCUCCGAGCUUAACUCGGAAACUGCCGUGGAUACUAUCAAUCUUGAAUACUGUGGAGGUAAGCGGAAUAUGUCAUGUAGCGGUGAAAUGCUUAGAUAUGACAUAGAACACCGAUAGCGGAGGCAGCUUGCUACACAGUCAUUGACACUGAGGCACGAAAGCGUGGGUAGCAAACAGG
rnacentral:rRNA from 1 species